rnacentral:lncRNA from 1 species
UUUUUUUUUCUAUUUAUAGUAAGUUUAUAUUUAGUAAGAACUAGUUGAAUUAAUAGAACUAGUUGAACAUGUCAUAUUUGUUGUUAUUUUUUUAGUUUAAGCAAUUAUUCGGGAUGUAUUAGCUAGCGAUAACUGCAUGUUCAGGUUACACCUCCGAGUGGCCUAUGAUUAAUUUCCGUUCCGGCAAAUUUCAGGCGCUCGAUAUGUCCUUUUUUAGCAAAGGUCAUGCAGGAUUUUUCCGUGAAUUCUGGCAUGACUUGUGCUAGAAUAUGUAGGAAAUAUCGAGUGGCCUGGAUUUUCUCGGAAAAUAAUGAUCUAAUUUAGGUUUUUUAGUACAUAUAUUUAAUUGUACAAGUUUAAUCUUUGAAUUAUGAACGUAGGAAAUGUCGUACUCGGACAACGAAAGUCUCCCGGGGGAGUGCAGCUGGUGCCAUGACGAUCGAGGUCUGUGCGACAGGUGCCCUCACCUGGACGAAGAUCGGCGCUUCAGCAUUAAGCUGGAGGAGACCUUCGAUGUUGAAACGGUACGCAACGACAACAAGUGUUUUUUUCGUAAUUAAGCACGACUUCAACUAUUUCAACGUCUAAUUUUCAUCUUUUACAAUUCGACUAGCUUAUCCCAUGCCAUGCAAGACGCUAUGUCUUGGAGAGGAUGGGUUUUGAAGACCAUGAAAAUUUUGAAACAAAGAAAAUACACCUAAGGACCCAUCAUGAUAUGGAUUUUGAAGUAAAUCUGUACAAUUCUCAGAGCGUAACCCAUUUUGGUUGCCAAAAUUGGGAAGCACUUUGCAAAAUGUAUGGUUUUUAUGAGGGUAUGAUUGUCACCAUGGAUCUUGGUGAUCCUGACAUCGAGAAAAACAAUAUGGACAUUUGGGUCCUUGUUGAUACGCUUCCCAUUCUACCGCUAUGUGAGUUUCUCAAACAUAGUUAUUAACUAAUUUAUAUUUUUUAUUUCAAAAUAGUUGACAGCUUAUUUCCAUUGACAGCUUAUUUUCAUUGUUCGAACAAUGUGCAAAAGAUGGUAGACAAAACCCACUACACCGAUGGCUCCGAAUUAACUUAUAAGGAGAAAAAUCAUCUGAUGGCAUUUUGUACUGAUCUUGAGAAUUACAAUACCUAUUAUCGAACUCCUCCAAAUUAUGGUGAAUACAUGCCAUUAGUGCACGUGUUGAACCAUGGUAACUUCUAUGGAGAUACCCUGGUAAGAUUUUUUACUAUUACGACACCCGUGCAUCUUUUGCAUACUUCUAAAACUAGUACAUCAUUGCUAACUACGAAGUUAUUACUUUUUUCCAAUAGAAAAUCCCGAUGGAUUGUGUGCCUCAUCUGAUGUAUCAGAAUGGUCGUCUUGAUGUUCUGAACAUACAGCCAGGUCAUCCUAUGGAUCUCACCUGUGCAUAUUGGAUUUGUAAAACCGGUGAACACAUGCUAAUCAAAGAAUGGAAAAAAUGAUUGGACAUUCAUAAGGAGGUUCUUGGAAGCAACAUUAAGCAAAAGGCAAGAAUUGGAGACAGGAUAAUCUCCAUUCUCCAUAAUGGAGAGUCAGGGGCUAUCUUGUUUUUUUUCUAUUUUACCUUAGAGAAUAUAGUAGGUCCUAAGAGAAUGUAGUAGGUCCUAUGAGGUACAAUAUGUUUAUUAUGUGGUACAAUGUGUUAGAGUUUAUUAUGACUAGUGACCAACUUGCUAUGUGAUGUCUCAUUGAUGAAAACGAUGAUCAUGAGGAGGUUUUAUAUGACAAUGAUGUAUUAUGAUGAUAAGUGUUAAUGAUAUGAUGAUGAUGAUAUUUAUUAUAUCAUUGCAUGAAAGAACCGCGGAUUAGUUUCAAGUGGAUGUACAUCCACUUGAAACUAGUCCACGGUUCUUUCACCCAGUGAUGUAAUAACUCAUUAUGAUGUAAAAACAAUCUCUAAAUUGCUGCUGUAUGAAAACUUGUAUAGAGGUGUAUGAAUACAACAUGAAAUAAAAAGAAAUAAAAUACGGAAUAAUAGUAGUAGCGCGGGCUGGGAGAAGCUCUACUCGUAAUUACCAGUAGCGCUGUUUGGAGAAAGCGCUGCUACUAAGUCGGUAUGGCAGUAGCGUGGGUUACCCCAUGCUACUGCUAACCUUUAGCUGUAGCGCCGUACCAGUAGCGCCCCUGCCCGCGCUACUGAUAGGCCUAAAACCCGCGCUGCUGCUAGGCUUUUCCCUAGUAGUGACUCCUCGUGCUUUACCGAUGAGGUAAUGCAGCACAAAUUUCCAGAAGGGUUUAAACCCGUAAACAUUGAACGACAGAUCCCGCGGUAUGGAUUGAAGAUUUUCUCCUCCAUAUUCAUAUGGCUCGCGGCGACGACCUCCACACCAUCAAGUACCUCCCCCUAAAACUAAAGGGACCAGCACGACACUAGUUAAAUAGUCUGCCAGAGAAAUCUAUUGGCAGCUGGGAAGAUUUGGAGGAUGCCUUUCAAGACAACUUCCAAGGUACUUAUGUCCGGCCACCGGACGCCGACGAGCUUAGUCACAUAGUCCAGCAACCCGGAGAGUCAGCCCGCAAACUCUGGUCUCGGUUCUUAAUCAAAAAGAAACAAAUUGUCGACUGUCCGGACGCCAAAGCCCUAGCGGCCUUUAAACAUAGCGACCACGAUGAAUGGCUCGCCCGACACCUCGGUCAAGAAAAGCCGAAGUCUAUGGCAGCUUUUACCGCACUCAUGACCCGCUUCUGCGCGGGAGAGGAUAGCUGGCUAGCUCAUAGAAGCAACAAUACCAGCGACCCGGGCACCUCCGAAGCUAGGGAUGGCAACGGACGGCCACGACGUAACGAACUAAGCGUUGGAACAACAAUGAAGAAACCGAGGAUACAACAGUCAAUGCCAGAUUCAGUGGCUCUAAACUCGGUCAACGGAAGAAGCCAUUCAAAGGAAAUAGAGACGGUCCAUCUAAUUUGGACAAAAUACUCGACCGGCCUUGCCAGAUUCAUGGCACCCCUGACAAGCUUGCCAACCAUUCCAACAGAAAUUGUUGGGUUUUUAAACAGGCCGAUAAGCUAAAUACCGAACAGAAGGGGGAAGGGUCGCCAAGCGAGGACGAUGAUGAGCCCCGCCCACCGAACACACGAGGAUAGAAGAAAUUUCCCCCUGAGGUGAAAACAGUGAAUAUGAUAUAUGUCACGCAUAUGCCCAAGAGGGAGCGCAAGCACGCAUUAAGGGACGUCUACGCCGUAGAGUCGGUCGCCCCAAAAUUCAACCCAUGGUCGGCUUGCCCGAUCACCUUCGAUCGCAGGGACCAACCGACCAGUAUCCGUCACGGAGGUUCGGCAGCCCUGGUCCUCGAUCCAAUCAUUGAUGGAUACCAUCUCACUUGAGUCCUUAUGGACAAUGACAGCAGUCUUAACCUGAUCUAUCAAGACACUGUUCGCAAAAUGGGUAUUGACCCGUCAAGAAUCAAACCUAGUAACACCACCUUUAAAGGGGUGAUUCCCGGCGUAGAGGCCCGCUGCACAGGUUUGUUAACAUUGGAAGUUGUCUUCGACUUGCCGGAUAACUUCCGAAGCGAAGACUUGAUCUUCGACAUUGUCCCUUUUCGCAGUGGUUAUCACGCAUUGCUCGGACGAACUACCUUCGCCCGGUUCAAUGCAGUGCCGCACUAUGCUUACCUAAAGCUCAAAAUGCCUGGACCACAUGGCCUUAUCACAGUCAAUGGAAACAUGGAGCACUCCCUUCAUACUGAGCAGCACACCACGGCCCUUGCGGCCGAGGCGCAGAGCGGCCUCAACAAGCCAAUACUUCAUCGGCCAUCAAGACCCCGGACACUGCUAAACGAGUCCGACCUACCCUACAGAAUGACAGCUCGGUGGAUCCAAAGCUAAUCUAGCAGUUUCGCCUCCGCCGAUCGCCCCACACAAUUGCGGCAUAUGUAUCGUGUGUGCAUAAUUACGCACUCAAAAUACCCUGGGUAACGACGGAGGCACACUGCGGAUAAGGUCUAUAGUACUGCUUGACCCUAUUUGACCGUAAACUUCCUUCUUUUCUCCCUCAUACUAUAGGUUCAUUAAAACCUACCUAUCCUAUGGUCAUGCAAUGGCUCUUGACGAGCCCCUUUCGUAUAAACGACAACUGACCACUCCUCUCAAAGGAUUUUUACCAAGGAGAAACAACGCAGACGUGCGGCAGGGCAUCAAUGGGAUCUUCAAGACUACCUCUUCUCUUAAGCCCUGUAUACAGCUUCCCCUUGUGUGCAAAUUCUCGGCAUAUAAAAUAGCCUGGAUGUUUAUGGCAUUAUCUGUAAUAGCAUGUUUUAACGUAUUAGUCAGAGUAUAAAGGAAAUAGUUUAUUGCCCCUGUUCGGCAUUGGUUUAUUUUACCACCUGUAUUCCCUCCUUACUUCAGAUUGCCAGAUAUACUUUGGCCCGUCCUAAAUACCGAGGGCUCUAUUCGGCCACAUAUAUUUUCAAAAGUCCGAACACUUCUAGGGUCUCGUUCAAUGUCCCGAAUAUUGCGUUAUAUGCAUCAGCUCUGAAUCAUGUCUUUGGUCAAUAGUUGGGUUGCCCAGCUCCUGUGAUUACCACCUUACGUUCCGCUAGUUCGGCUAAGGUAGUAAAGGGACAACUACUGCGAUUGUGUUUCUGGUUCAUCCGGAUAAACACCUCAGUAGAGAAAGCCGAAAACUGACUAUCAUGAUAUGGCGAGAGCUGGUCGGCGAUUCGGCGACGUGCUACAAAUCUUCUGCGAUCUUACUCCGUACUACACGAAGGGCUGCCCUUUUUUAGUCAUGCGCUUAAGGCAUCCUAGUUCGGAUGGCCGUAUACGCACCAGGGGCUAGUACUUAGCACCACCGUCAAACUCCUAUGGCUAAGUGAAAGUAGUAAAGCCGCAUAGUCCGAUUGCCUGGUUCGCUGCACAGACACCUCCUUUACGGACCAAAGCGUUGGGUCAAGUGUGAUCAUGCGCUACCGCGAACACCCAUGUAGCAUAUACGUGGGGGUUGAAGCCGAUGACCGGCAAACUUUCAGAAUUGAAACGGCCGCACAGGAGGAAAAUAAUUUCAGGUAAAGGCAUAAAUAUAUUACAAGCCUUGGUUCAUAAAACAAAGUCUGGACAAUCCUGAUACAUUCACUCAAACACGACAUCCUUUGAGCACUGGCCCUCUACUAUUCGGGCACCCUCCAGGACAACGUCAAAGUACCUCUCCGGCUUGCAGUGGUCCUUGCCUUCGGGCGGGCCUUCGGUUGCCACGACGGCGGCCUUCAUCUUCGGCCAAUGCAUCUUGACACGGGCAAAGGCCAUCCGCGCACCCUCUAUGCACGCCAAGCACUUCACAGCUUCAACUCAGGGCAGCGCAUCGACGAGCUGCUUUACUAGGCCGAAGUAGCUGCUCGGAAUGGGCUCGGCUGACCAAAGCCGGACUAUGAUGUCCUUCGUGGCUAAACCGUAUAUCUGAUGCAGAUCCGCCAGUUGCUUCAUCUAGUUGUUGAAUAGCAUCGGGUGCUCCGGUGCCAAGAACUAUGACCAAAAUAGCUUCUUCGUCGAGUUCCCCUCCUGGGCUCGGAAGAAUUGCGCGGCGUCGGCGACACUCCUCGAGAGAUCCGCAAAAACGUCUGGAGAACUCCAUAGUCGAGUGAGCAAGGCAUAUAUUUUAACCCCAAAUAUAAUCUACAAGAGAAAGGGCUUACCAGCCGCUAUCUAUUCGGCCUGCCGGAUCUCCUCCCGAGCACUCCAGAACUCGGUCCACGCCUCUUUGGCCUCUUGGAUGGCUUUGGCAAGUUUGUCCACUUGGGCCGUACUCUUCCCCUCCAAGGCCUCGCACUUGCCGAUGGCAUCCUUCAGCUCUUGUUCCACCUCAGCCAUCCUCUCCUCGUGUUGGCGGCAGGCGACCUGUUCGGUCUUCAGUUCUGCAGCCACUUUGUCAGCGACUGCUUUACUCGCCAUCGCCUUCUCCUUGGCCUGCGCAAGGGCACUCUUGAGGGUCUCGACCUCGGCCGCGCUACCUGCACUCAUAAUUACAAUAGUACAUGAGUUACCCUUUGAAUUUGCAUAUCACUUCAGAUGUAUGAUCAUCCUCUUUUAAAAAACAUACACACAUACCUUGCGCCUCAUUGAACCGCUUGUUAACGCGGUCGAUCUCAUCAUCAGCCAGCUUCAUUCUCCGAUUGAGGUCAGAAAUUUCAGCGGCUGCUCCUGUCGCAAUUUCCCGAUUUCGAAAUGUUGCAAAGCCUGGGGAGUUUUCCAGUAAUUCUAGAGACAUGUUUGAAAUUUUGGGUCUUUUUUUGUUACAAUUGUCUAUCUCCUUCGCUUGUAGUAGGUUGGACCAAAAUCCAGCUGAGAGAGGGCAGCCUUUAGAAGCAACUGGUUGGGAAACCAAGAGAAGGAUUCGUGUUUCUUAUCUUCUUCCCGGCACAAAAAUAGGGAUUAGCAUUAUUGACCCCAUGAGAAAGCACUAACACCUUCCUCAUCGGGGCUCCCCGCAUUGGGAAAAGGCUUCCGCGACAGGAAACCGGCUACUAGUUAGGAAGUGAACAUAAGGUAUCAAGAGGUCCCUCACAGUCAGGUGGAAUGCAAUUGCCCCCUAUUAGUCAAGUACCCCUCUUCCUAUUUAGUUUAGGGGUUAAGGCGAGAAAUGGCUUGAUGAACCCUUCCGUUCACCAUGCACCGGCCCCAUUCACUUGCAACUCGUAGAGGCUAUAAGUAAAUAGUGCCCCUCUAAUUCAAAGUGAUGGUGGGGUUGAAAGACGAGAGUGCCUACCUCCGCGCCGAGAGUGCCCGCCAUUUCUUUCAAGUAGGCUACUUUUUCUGGAACGCAGUCCGGAAUAAGCAUUCCUGUGUAUAUAGAUAUCUUCGAUGCUGUCAUUUCGACAUGUCCGCUUCAACCCCUCUUUCGCCUCCCAAAAAGCAAAGUUGGCUUGACAAGUGCAGAUGAGGAAGCGGGAGCAAUAAAACCAAGAAUCUCUUUCUUUUCUUUCCAAAUACUUUAUGAAGUUAAGGGGCAAAGAGAAGCGCUUUCGCUACUGAGAAAGCGAAUGGUCAGCGCGAGGGUUCGACGACUUAGCCGAGCGUUAGCGACGCGUCAUUCUCAUAGCGAGGCGCUUCGAGUUAGCGAAGUGUUGUAGUAGCAUCGGAGACUAUGUGCUAUAAUGUUGAACUACGGACGUUCCGCCUUAUCUAUAGAAGCAGUCGACUUAGUUCUGAACGAAUGGGAUCCUUGGUGGGCAAUGGCUCAAUCUAUAGAUGGAAAGCCUUAUGAUUGGAAACUACCACGUUAGGUUUGGAGAGAGAUGGGACCCGUUAUAGUUUAGGGGGAGCAGAUGCAAGCUUUUUCUUUCCAUAGCCGGCCAAAUGACUACUGGAUCAUCGGUCUACUCUACCUCAAUUCACCACUUCGAACUUUAUACAGAAGGUUUUUCCGUACCAGCUCCUACUACCUAUACCGUAGUUGAAGCACCUAAAGGUGAAGUUGGUGUAUUUCUUGUCAGUAAUGGGAGUAAUCAUCCCUACCGUUGUAAAAUAAGAGCACCUGGCUUUGCCCAUUCACAAGGACUUGAUUCUAUGUCCAAACAUAGGUACUCAAGAUAUUGUGUUUGGAGAGGUAGAUAGAUAGGACGUAGUCUUGCUCAAUCAGGACCCUAGCUUUAUUGCGAGCCAAAACUGCCUGAAAGAAGCAAAAUGGAAAAGGAUGCAAAAUGCAAUGGGAUUCCUGAUCCAAUAAGAAAUCCCAAUUUGGAGUUUGUUUGGAUCAAAUUCCUAUGUUAUACUAUUCCAUUCUCGAUGAUGAAUCGAUUUGAUAGAUCAGAUAUUGUUAUUCCAAAUAUUGAUCCGAAUCCUUAGAACAACUCGAUUCCGUUGAUUCACUGUCCAUUUGUCCUUCAACCGGAUUAAUGGUCAACGACUUUGACAACCUUUCCUUCACACAAGGUUUUUAAUCCAUCUCCCCCGCUUAGGGCAGUAAGGGAAGUAGCGAUAUUCCGAUUCCUUCGUGGGGAAUCAACGAAGGCAGCCGCUCCAGCAGCUUUAGUACUUAAGUUAACGCCCCAGCCCUUAUCCCGCGAUGAGAAGGUAGAUGCGGUAAGCCAACUCCUAUCCUUCUUGCGCAAAGGGCAUUCAAUGCCAUCUUAAUUCCCUUCCUUGCUUCGAGGAGCAGGUUGAAUAGUCAAAGAAGGGAUGGCUAAUUCCAGGAAUAGAGUAGCAUUCUCAAGCACUACCCUCCGUUUUUUUUCAGUCCAUAUAAAACAGUCAAUCUACCAGCAGCAGAGGCUGCAGAUACAUGUGCACCACCUGUUUAUCUACUACCAUAAGCGGGAGCAGUUGCAGGUAAAGAGUGUUGUGAGGGCUUUCAUUUGCGCGUUAAGGGCAGUUUCUGUUAUAGCACUAGAAAUCUGUGCCGUUAGUUGAAUGCUCGGAAUGACUAUUUCCUUGCUGGAACAUAAUGACAACCACAGGAAUUCGGAAUAAGACAUGUUACGUUUCUCCUCUUUCUGUCUAAUGACUACUACGACAUGCCUAGACUAUAACAUUCCUACGGAGUGCUGCCCAUAGAUUACGGAGCACUUGGCAUAUGUUGAUUGAGUCCCGGGUAUAGCUCCCUCACUCGCUCUACUUUGAAUCACGAAUUAGCGUAUGAAAAGCGGCGAUCUUUCUCAAUUUCUUCCUCUUCCACCAAAACAAACAAGUUGUUUUCGGGCGUCAGGCAAACUUAGUUCUUCGUUCCUUCGGUAAUUGGAUUGAUAUAUAAGGAUUGGGGUUGUCACCCGUAUGCUUCUUAUCUUUGGCUUCGAACAAGGGGAGUCCUUUCAAGCUUCAUCAAAUCCAUGGCACAAGGUCUGUCUUUCAUUAUAGAAUCGAGCAAGAAUCGGAUUGUGAAUUAGGAUUGUAUGCAAGAAGGGAUUCGGAAACAGGAAAGCGAGUCAAGUAAUCCGAAUACGUAGCCACUCUCAUUCUAAUGCUUAUAUCCAGAACUAGUUCACCGAACAAAGGGACAGAACUACUGACUAAACUGUAGCGAGCUAAUACCUAAACUUGAACUCUGAAAUAGCACUCAUUCAUUCAAUUAUUUGAAGCUAAGGUGCGGGAAAAGAAUACAUAAGGUUAGAUAUGAACUAGUUGACUGUUCGAUUGAGGGACUACGAUGCAUUUUACUCAUGUUUUUAUUCCAUUCCAGGAUUCAUUCAUAUUCAACCAUAACGAGACUCAAUAAUGAAACUAGGGCCCUUGCUUUCCCAACUGGAGCAGGAAACUUCCAACCAAAUAGGAGGGACCCGGAAGAAGAGAUAAAUGACAACUAUCUCUAGAGAACUGAAAAGGGGUGUGCGAACAAUGUUAUUGAAUCGGCCAUGGAAACCUAAAAUGAAGGAAUAGGGGGUCUGGGAUAAGCAUGUAUUGGAGGCGGGUUUCCCAAUAAGUCAAUAGCUAUCCUUCGCUAUCUCGGGCUAGCUCACUCUAUGAGAUAAGUUUCAUGUAUGGUUCGAAGCAGUUAACUCCCCUUUAAGGAGCGAUCGAUCAGCCCCGACCAUGACCGGUCUAGAAUCGCUCUCAUUGAGCUUCUCUUUUACGCCUGCUUUCUUCUUGAUUUAUUGCAGCAACUAGUCUCCCUUUUCCAAAUUUGAUUAUAAGUGAAGUGAGUUAUGUUUCAAGAAAUUCCAUCCAUUUCAUCGCCCAGAAUAAUACCUAGUCCUGCCAAUCUCUACGACAAUCUCUGGUUUAGUUUAGUUGAUCUUUUUCUAUUAUGAAAAGCAAGGAAACACUAAGUCUCUUCUUUCCACAACUCCUAAAUUUCCCAUCAGCCUAUCCAAUCUAAUUCCAGACAGAGUCAGUAGUCUUUACUUUAGUGUAGGUAGUGUCAGAUAAUUAGGAAGUCGUGAUAGUCUUCGUAUAAUCUCUUCUUCAAUCCUAGGAGCAAAAAAGGAAUGUCCUUUAGGGACCUUUGGAUACCAAGAUUUUCGACCUCUUACUUUUGUAGUUAUGAAUUGCGGAAUAGAAUCAAUUAUGAAAUUCAUAAGUAUAUAUCCCUCAUCCCUAUUGGUAUCGGUUUGGGCCACUACCCAGAACCCUGCCAGAGCCCUAUUUUUAAGAAGAAAUUGACAGUCUUUUUUAGAACUAGCACUAUGGUAAAAUCCAGUAUCAACAGGCCUAGUUCUUUUCCUUUGCUUAUGCAGGGCAAGAAUUUGCCGAGUUCAAUCAGUACAAUACAAAAUCCUAAGUAUUUUUUUGGUCAGGCGACACCCAGAUUUGAACUGGGGAUAAAGUAAUAGGCUGUGGUCUGGAUAUUGGGCUAUGGGCUGAUUGCUUUCUGUAUGAGCCUCUUGUGAUUGGGCGCUCGUGGGCGGAUUACCCAAUGUGUACUCAUCUUCCAACAAAGAGGAGAAGACAUAACCCGAUUUUUUUGAGAAAUAAGUUAAUUUAUCAAGUUGAGGCAUUUCGAUUUGGAUUUCAAAUAAGAAAGACAGAAAAAGACUCCUGCGCCCUCGAGAGCAUUCUCUUUCACUUGCAUUUCUUCCUGAAGUUGGCUCAAAGACCUGUCCAGCCUUGAUUUUCCCAGUUAUUACUCGAGCGCGCCGAGGCAACUCUGAACUAACCUCAGGGGAGGGGUAGUAGGUAUGCUUCAAACCCUCCGGCACCUUGAAGAACGAUGGCACUACAUCGGGAAAGAUGAAUGACCAAUGAGGACAGGACAAUGGGGGAAGUUGGUAAUAGAGAAUCAUCCCUUCUUCUUUGCUUUCUUGCCUGAAAAAAUCCAAAACUAACCAUUGGAACCUCAUGGGCAACCGAGUAGGAGAUUCAUUUUAUUUAUUACUUUUACUUUUUUUUACUAAGUUAUUCUAAAAGAUAAGAGCUAACUGACCAUCCUGAUUGAAUGUUUGAGUACUCGGGGUCUCUCGUAAGUAUGGCAAGAAAGUCUCUUCUUUCCACAACUCCUAAAUUUCCCAUCAGCCUAUCCAAUCUAAUUCUAGACAGAGUCAGUAGACCUUACUUUAGUGUAGGUACUGUCAGAUAAUUAGGAAGUCUUGAUAGUCUUUCGUAUAAUCUCUUCUUCAAUCCUAGGAGCAAAAAAGGAAUGUCCUUUAGGGACCUUUGGAUACCAAGAUUUCCGACCUCUUACUUUCGUAGUUAUGAAUUGCGGAAUAGAAUCCAUUAUGAAAUUCAUAAGUAUAUAUCCCUCAUCCCUAUUGGUAUCGGUUUGGGCCACUACCCAGAACCCUGCCAGAGCCCUAUUUUUAAGAAGAAAUUGACAGUCUUUUUUAGAACUAGAACUAUGGUAAAAUCCAGUAUCGACAGGCCUAGUUCUUUUCCUUUGCUUAUGCAGGGCAAGAAUUUGUCGAGUUCAAUCAGUACAAUAAGAAAUCCUAAGUAUUUUUUGGUCAGGCGACACCCAGAUUUGAACUGGGGAUAAAGGAUUUGCA